rnacentral:lncRNA from 10 species
UUUCUAUUAAACCUCACAUUUUCAAUUUUGUAUUUGGUUGAGAGUACUUUUUAAAAAAAGGCUUAAAUCAAUAUUAUCUAACACACACAAAAAAUCUCAUUAAUUCUCCUCACUCUGGGCCAGAUGCUGUGGCUCACACCUAUAAUCUCAGCACUUUGGGAGGUACUGGGUCAAAGGGGGCUCUGCAGGUCGAUGAUCUCCUCAAACCUGCAAAGACAUCCCAUCUAUGC